UGCUGGGGCGAGUCUGCUCGCGAUAGCGUCAGCUCUGUCGACAUCGUUUUUGUCUGAUCCGCCGCUUUCGCGAGCAGGCUCGCUCCCACA
rnacentral:misc_RNA from 1 species